rnacentral:tRNA from 2 species
GGCCUAUUAGUUCAGUUGGUUAGAGCGUCGUGCUAAUAACGCGAAAGUUGCAGGUUCGAGACCUGCAUGGGCCA